rnacentral:rRNA from 1 species
AGAGUUUGAUCCUGGCUCAGGACGAACGCUGGCGGCGUGCUUAACACAUGCAAGUCGAACGGAAAGGCCCUUCGGGGUACUCGAGUGGCGAACGGGUGAGUAACACGUGGGUGAUCUGCCCUGCACUUUGGGAUAAGCCUGGGAAACUGGGUCUAAUACCGAAUAUGACCAUGCGCCUCCUGGUGUGUGGUGGAAAGCUUUUGCGGUGUGGGAUGGGCCCGCGGCCUAUCAGCUUGUUGGUGGGGUAAUGGCCUACCAGGGCGACGACGGGUAGCCGGCCUGAGAGGGUGACCGGCCACACUGGGACUGAGAUACGGCCCAGACUCCUACGGGAGGCAGCAGUGGGGAAUAUUGCACAAUGGGCGCAAGCCUGAUGCAGCGACGCCGCGUGAGGGAUGACGGCCUUCGGGUUGUAAACCUCUUUCAGCACAGACGAAGCGCAAGUGACGGUAUGUGCAGAAGAAGGACCGGCCAACUACGUGCCAGCAGCCGCGGUAAUACGUAGGGUCCGAGCGUUGUCCGGAAUUACUGGGCGUAAAGAGCUCGUAGGUGGUUUGUCGCGUUGUUCGUGAAAACUCACAGCUUAACUGUGGGCGUGCGGGCGAUACGGGCAGACUUGAGUACUGCAGGGGAGACUGGAAUUCCUGGUGUAGCGGUGGAAUGCGCAGAUAUCAGGAGGAACACCGGUGGCGAAGGCGGGUCUCUGGGCAGUAACUGACGCUGAGGAGCGAAAGCGUGGGGAGCGAACAGGAUUAGAUACCCUGGUAGUCCAA